UCUUAGCUUGCUAAGGCUGAUGGCGACCGGCGCACGGGUGAGUAACACGUAUCCACCCUUCCGUCUACUCUUGGCCAGCCUUCUGAAAGGAAGAUUAAUCCAGGAUGGCAUCAUGAGUUCACAUGUCCGCAUGAUUAAAGGUAUUUUCCGGUAGACGAUGGGGAUGCGUUCCAUUAGAUAGUAGGCGGGGUAACGGCCCACCUAGUCAACGAUGGAUAGGGGUUCUGAGAGGAAGGUCCCCCACAUUGGAACUGAGACACGGUCCAAACUCCUACGGGAGGCAGCAGUGAGGAAUAUUGGUCAAUGGGCGAUGGCCUGAACCAGCCAAGUAGCGUGAAGGAUGACUGCCCUAUGGGUUGUAAACUUCUUUUAUAAAGGAAUAAAGUCGGGUAUGCAUACCCGUUUGCAUGUACUUUAUGAAUAAGGAUCGGCUAACUCCGUGCCAGCAGCCGCGGUAAUACGGAGGAUCCGAGCGUUAUCCGGAUUUAUUGGGUUUAAAGGGAGCGUAGAUGGAUGUUUAAGUCAGUUGUGAAAGUUUGCGGCUCAACCGUAAAAUUGCAGUUGAUACUGGAUGUCUUGAGUGCAGUUGAGGCAGGCGGAAUUCGUGGUGUAGCGGUGAAAUGCUUAGAUAUCACGAAGAACUCCGAUUG
rnacentral:rRNA from 1 species